GACGAACGCUGGCGGCGUGCUUAACACAUGCAAGUCGAACGGAAAGGCCCUGCUUUUGUGGGUUGCUCGAGUGGCGAACGGGUGAGUAACACGUGAGUAACCUGCCCUUGACUUUGGGAUAACUUCAGGAAACUGGGGCUCAUACCGGAUAGGAGCUCCUGCUGCAUGGUGUGGUUUGGAAAGUUUCGGCGGUUGGGGAUGGACUCGCGGCUUAUCAGCUUGUUGGUGGGGUAGUGGCUUACCAAGGCUUUGACGGGUAGCCGGCCUGAGAGGGUGACCGGCCACAUUGGGACUGAGAUACGGCCCAGACUCCUACGGGAGGCAGCAGUGGGGAAUAUUGCACAAUGGGCGGAAGCCUGAUGCAGCAACGCCGCGUGCGGGAUGACGGCCUUCGGGUUGUAAACCGCUUUCGCCUGUGACGAAGCGUGAGUGACGGUAAUGGGUAAAGAAGCACCGGCUAACUACGUG
rnacentral:rRNA from 1 species